CAUUCGCCCUUCGGGGUGCACCAGGCGCGAAAACUUUACACUGCGGGAAACCGCGAUAAGGGGACCCCGAGUGCCAGCACCUAGUGCUGGCUGUCCAGUUGUCCAAAUAACAACUGUUAGCAAGGGCCGGGCAAGACCGGUGCCAGCCGCCCCGGUAACACCGGCGGCCCGAGUGGUAGCCGCUAUUAUUGGGUCUAAAGGGUCUGUAGCCGGCUUGGUUAGUCUCUUGGGAAAUCCGGCAGCUUAACUGUCGGGCUUUCAGGAGAUACUGCCAGGCUCGAGACCGGGAGAGGUGAGAGGUACUUCAUGGGUAGGGGUGAAAUCUUGUAAUCCUUGAAGGACCACCAGUGGCGAAGGCGUCUCACCAGAACGGAUCUGACGGCAAGGGACGAAAGCUAGGGGCACGAACCGGAUUAGAUACCCGGGUAGUCCUAGCCGUAAACGAUACUCGCUAGGUGUCGGCCACGGUGCGACCGUGGUCGGUGCCGUAGGGAAGCCGUGAAGCGAGCCACCUGGGAAGUACGGCCGCAAGGCUGAAACUUAAAGGAAUUGGCGGGGGAGCAC
rnacentral:rRNA from 1 species